AACGAACGCUGGCGGCAGGCUUAACACAUGCAAGUCGAACGCCCCGCAAGGGGAGUGGCAGACGGGUGAGUAACGCGUGGGAAUCUACCCAGUUCUACGGAACAACAGUUGGAAACGACUGCUAAUACCGUAUACGCCCUACGGGGGAAAGAUUUAUCGGAAUUGGAUGAGCCCGCGUAAGAUUAGCUAGUUGGUGGGGUAAUGGCCUACCAAGGCGACGAUCUUUAGCUGGUCUGAGAGGAUGAUCAGCCACACUGGGACUGAGACACGGCCCAGACUCCUACGGGAGGCAGCAGUGGGGAAUAUUGGACAAUGGGCGCAAGCCUGAUCCAGCCAUGCCGCGUGAGUGAUGAAGGCCUUAGGGUUGUAAAGCUCUUUCAGUGGGGAAGAUAAUGACGGUACCCACAGAAGAAGCCCCGGCUAACUUCGUGCCAGCAGCCGCCGUAACAC
rnacentral:rRNA from 1 species